rnacentral:rRNA from 1 species
UACGUAGGCACCAAGCGUUGUCCGGAUUUAUUGGGCGUAAAGAGCUCGUAGGCGGUUCGGUAAGUCGGGUGUGAAAACUCUGGGCUCAACCCAGAGAGGCCACCCGAUACUGCCGUGACUGGAGUGCGGUAGGGGAGUGGGGAAUUCCUGGUGUAGCGGUGAAAUGCGCAGAUAUCGGGAGGAACACCUAUGGCGAAGGCAGCUCGCUGGGACGUUACUGACGCUGAGACGCGAAAGCGUGGGGAGCAAACAGG